CAUGAUGAAUAAUAUUUAAUGAAGUUGAGACAAAGGUCUUCUAUUUUGUAGCUUUGAAAUUUGCUUGGCUUCCACAUUAUCGUAUCUUGACAGAUUAUGUUUUCAAUUCAAUGUUUUUAAAAUUCCUAGAAUUUUGGAGGUUUAAAUUAAUUUUGAAAACUGUUGCACUUAUUUUUGAAAACAAUACAGUUUUUGCCUUUUUAAACUAUAUAGCCUCCAUUGCUCCAAAUUUUG